UGGGGAAUAUUGCACAAUGGGCGAAAGCCUGAUGCAGCAACGCCACGUGAGUGAUGAAGGUCUUCGGAUUGUAAAGCUCUGUCUUUUGGGACGAUAAUGACGGUACCAAAGGAGGAAGCCACGGCUAACUACGUGCCAGCAGCCGCGGUAAUACGUAGGUGGCGAGCGUUGUCCGGAUUUACUGGGCGUAAAGGGUGCGUAGGCGGAUGUUUAAGUGAGAUGUGAAAUACCCGGGCUUAACUUGGGUGCUGCAUUUCAAACUGGAUAUCUAGAGUGCAGGAGAGGAGAAUGGAAUUCCUAGUGUAGCGUGAUNGCGUAGAGAUUAGGAAGAACACCAGUGGCGAAGGCGAUUCUCUGGACUGUAACUGACGCUGAGGCACGAAAGCGUGGGUNCGAACAAGGAUUAG
rnacentral:rRNA from 1 species